AUUUUCUAAAUCAAACUUUAAAAUAGAUUAAAAUUAUGAAUCAAUUGGUUUUGAUUUAAGUUUUCGAUUCAAACAAACAAUGAUAUAAUCUCUCAUAAUGCAUAUACUUUAAAGAAAAUAAUAAUAAAUUAUGCUAAAGUUAACAAGAUUCUGAUUUUCCAUCGCACACAUAGGUAUUAGGUUAACUAGUCAUUUGUCACCUCUUAGAUAAUGCUAAAAAAUCUUGGAACAUUGUAUGGCGAUCAAAAUGCAUAUGCGUACCUUUCAAGAAAUUUAUUAUAGUUCUUUCUAGGAAAGUUGGCCACUUGUGAAGGGUAGCGUGAAGUAGUGAUUGUAGGGUUGUAAAGAUGUUCAACUUUUUAGCAAAGUGAUGGGCAAAGAAAAAAUAUAAAGCCUAGCUUCAUCUGGCUAAAGGGAGUUAAGUUAGAGUCUAUCACUCUCCGAGUUAAUAAGUUCAAUUUUUUAAUUGAAAAAAAUAUAAGGUAAAAAUAGCCAAAAAAAAAAGUAAGAUAUUACAAUGAUUUUCGUCCUCUAGUAAUAAAUGGGUGUCACUAUGUUGAAAUUAUUAAGGAUAUCAAAGUACUAUAGGUCUAUAUAAUAAUUUAUCAUAUGUCAAGCAAAAGAUGCUUGCUCACUCCUCUAUCCUCUCUCUCAUCCCUUAUGAUUAAGGAUUUUUCAAAAUUUUCAUGGUUGUGGCCCUCAUGUGUUUUAGGAAUCUCAUGACCUUCAAAAUUAUUUUUUAGGAAUCUCAUGACCUUCAAAAUUAUUUUAUAACUUGUCAUAAAUCAUUCUCAAACAAUAACGAUGCCUUCCUUUUCCCCCUUCUCCGUACCUCUUUGUCUCUCUCCAAUGGUUUUCUUUCAUUUUCAUGGCUGUUAUGGCCCUCCAUCACCUCCUAAAUUUUGCUUACCCUAUCAUUAUGUCAACUUGACAUAAAUACGUUACUCUGAUAUGAGAGGAUAGCACUGGUUUCAAAGUAAAAUUGCUUCAUUCAUAUAGUGUAAUGAUAAAAUUACUUCAUUUGUAACUUGAAAAUUAUGAAUUUAAGUCAUGAAAAUAGUCUCUUUAUAAAUAUAAAUAAGGCUGCAUAUAUUAACACCCUCUAAAACUCUUUAAGUGUGAAAUAUUUCGUGUAUAAUCUUUUUAUUCUUGGAAUUUUUCUUUUGAAUAAAACAAAUUGUCUCCCUUCACGUCAUAUUAGUUUUGUGUUUUGGGUUGCCAUCAAAGUGGGGGUGAAAGGAUGAAGAACAUAGGGAUGGGUUGUCAAAGAACAUGGUGGCGAAUGGUAGGAAAGGAAUAUGAGCGCGUUGAAAAACGAUGGCGGAUGAAGAAAUAUACUGGGAACAAGAGUCAAGAGCAAAAGUGAGAGAGAGAGAGAGAGAGAGAG
rnacentral:misc_RNA from 1 species